GACGAACGCUGGCGGCGUGCUUAACACAUGCAAGUCGAACGCUGAACCCGCUUCGGUGGGGGAUGAGUGGCGAACGGGUGAGUAACACGUGGGCAACCUGCCCCCGGCUCUGGGAUAACUCCAAGAAAUUGGGGCUAAUACCGGAUGUGACCGCUGGCCGCAUGGUCUGGUGGUGGAAAGGGUUUCCGGCUGGGGAUGGGCCCGCGGCCUAUCAGCUUGUUGGUGGGGUAGUGGCCUACCAAGGCGACGACGGGUAGCCGGCCUGAGAGGGUGACCGGCCACACUGGGACUGAGACACGGCCCAGACUCCUACGGGAGGCAGCAGUGGGGAAUAUUGCGCAAUGGGCGGAAGCCUGACGCAGCGACGCCGCGUGGGGGAUGACGGCCUUCGGGUUGUAAACCUCUUUCAGCAGGGACGAAGCGCAAGUGACGGUACCUGCAGGAGAAGCACCGGCCAACUACGUG
rnacentral:rRNA from 1 species